rnacentral:rRNA from 1 species
UACGUAGGGUGCGAGCGUUGUCCGGAAUUACUGGGCGUAAAGCGCUCGUAGGCGGUUUGUCGCGUUGUCCGUGAAAACUCACAGCUCAACUGUGGGCGUGCGGGCGAUACGGGCAGACUGGAGUACUGCAGGGGAGACUGGAAUUCCUGGUGUAGCGGUGGAAUGCGCAGAUAUCAGGAGGAACACCGGUGGCGAAGGCGGGUCUCUGGGCAGUAACUGACGCUGAGGAGCGAAAGCGUGGGGAGCGAACAGG